GAAAGCUCGGAAAAACUCGCAGCCAUCGUUAAGAAGAGAGAUCCUACCUGGGAAAGGAAAAAAUGGGGCUUGGGAUUAAGUGAAAGAAAAGCCUUGUCAUCUGCAGUUUUUCUUUUAGCAAUCCUUCCUUCUCUUCUCUUCUCUUCUUCUUCAUGUGCUUCGUCUGUCUAUCGGUUCCAAUUUUCGGUCUUCCUUCAUAAGAUUGCAUUGGCCAAGAACGUACGUUACAACAGUUCAAAUGCCAGGAGCCCGGCAUUGACCCAGUGGAGGUGGACUCGGUGGAGUACAAGAAACGGGUGAUCAUUGGAAUUGAACGAUUUGCCAAAACGACCUCGAUCUAGACCGGUAAGUUCGCUUUAAAGGGAAAAUUUUGCUGAUUCCCUUGGCAAAAUUUUCCCCAACAAAAUCCCCCUCCGGCUGGGAACCAGAAACAGCAUCAAUGAGGUGCAGACUAUCGAGCAAGCCUUCCCCCAAACGAUCAAAA